ACAGCAGUCGCCGCGGUAAUACAGAGGGUGCGAGCGUUAAUCGGAUUUACUGGGCGUAAAGCGUGCGUAGGCGGCUUCUUAAGUCGGAUGUGAAAUCCCUGAGCUUAACUUAGGAAUUGCAUUCGAUACUGGGAAGCUAGAGUAUGGGAGAGGAUGGUAGAAUUCCAGGUGUAGCGGUGAAAUGCGUAGAGAUCUGGAGGAAUACCGAUGGCGAAGGCAGCCAUCUGGCCUAAUACUGACGCUGAGGUACGAAAGCAUGGGGAGCAAACAGGAUUAGAGACCCCUGUAGUCCCUGUCUCUUAUAC
rnacentral:rRNA from 1 species